GAUGAAGAACGUAGCGAAAUGCGAUAAGUAAUGUGAAUUGCAGAAUUCAGUGAAUCAUCGAAUCUUUGAACGCACCUUGCACCCUUUGGCAUUCUGAAGGGUAUGCUCGUUUGAGUGUCAUUGUACUCUCACACUCCCGAUCUUUGCAUUGGGAGCAGUGGACUUGGGUUUGCUGCUUCACCGUCGCUUACCUCAAAUAGGUUAGUGCAACUCUUGGUUGGACAUAGUACGGCGUGAUAAGUGUUCUUCGCCGGUGCCUCGCAAAGAGGGUGGCCGAUCGGGAUGUCGUGCUCCAAACCGUCUUCGGACAAUCUCUGACGACUUGACCUCACAUCGAGUAAGACUACCCGCUGAACUUAAGCAUAUCAAUAGGCGGAGGA
rnacentral:misc_RNA from 1 species